rnacentral:rRNA from 1 species
GGGAGGUAGUGACAAUAAAUAACAAUACAGGGCCUUUUAGGUCUUGUAAUUGGAAUGAGUACAAUUUAAAUCUCUUAACGAGGAACAAUUGGAGGGCAAGUCUGGUGCCAGCAGCCGCGGUAAUUCCAGCUCCAAUAGCGUAUAUUAAAGUUGUUGCAGUUAAAAAGCUCGUAGUUGAACUUCGGGGUUCACCCAUUGGUCAGGCUUAAUUGUCUGUACUGGUGAGAUGAGUCUCUACCUUCUGAGGAACUUUCAUGCCAUUCGUUUGGUGUGAUGGGAAAUCAGGACUGUUACUUUGAAAAAUUAGAGUGUUUAAAGCAGACAAGCGUCUGAAUACAUUAGCAUGGAAUAAUGAAAUAGGACGGAUUGAUUCUAUUUCGUUGGUUUCUAGGGUCACCGUAAUGAUUAAUAGGGAUAGUUGGG